rnacentral:lncRNA from 1 species
GUUGGCUCUUUCGUAAGCGGCGGGCGAAGGUCACAGGCCUUGGGCCAGUGGUGGGACACUGGAGCAGGAAGUCGGCCUGUGGCCGGCCAUGUUCAUGAGGGCGCGUCCCUUGGCACCCCUGUAGCCGCUAUGUUUCCCACGCCCGUGGCAGGCCUGAGAGAUUAUGUUUGCGGGGGGUGCUUUUUUUGUAGCUUCUGUGUUCGCCAUAUUUGAAAGGGGCAGACGGCCAUGUUCGUGAACGGCGCUUCCCUUGGUGCACCUGUGGCCGCCAUGUUUGAGCGAGCGUCUCUGAAUUGGGAUGCAUCUGACAGCAAGUGUGGCAUCCGGGCUGCAGUUGCCGUUGUCUGCUCACAUGUGAAUUAAAAAAACAAUCUCAGCAUAUGAAAUCUCUAAUCGCGUAUGAACUUGGUGGUUAUUCCUGGUGCCGUGUGGAUAACUGCAGCCUCAACACCCCAGUCCACAAACCACGUACGGACCAACUGAGGAAGGAGUAGGGGUUCUUGUUGUUGCAGAAAACCCUCCCUCAACUUGCUCUAGAAGAUACCAGCAUUCAUACUUGGAGUGGGCAUCAGCAGCUUGGAAGACACAGCAGUGGGCCCCUCUUAGCAGGAGUGCCCCAUCUCAUGGCUCCCGACGACGACCCAGAGGGUGAUGCUGCGUAGGGGCUCACGGACAUUGGCACUCUAAGUCAGAGAUGCUCAGGUGAAGGGGGCUCUGAUGGUGAGGACAUUCAGAAAUAACAGAGAUUGGCUGGGUACGGUGGCUCACACCUGUAAUCCCAGCACUUUGGGAGGGAAGCCGAGGCAGGUGGAUCACUGGAGGUCAGCCUGGCCAACAUGGUGAAACCCCGUCUCUACUAAAAAUACAAAAAUUAGCUGGGCGUGGCGGCAUGUGUCUGUAAUCCCAGUUACUCGGGAGGCUGAGGCAGGAGAAUUGCUUGAACCUGGGAGGCAGAGGUUGCAGUGAGCCAAGAGUGCGCCACUGCACUCCAGCCUGGGCAACAGAGCGAGACUCUUUGUCUCAAAAAAGAAAAAAAAAAGAAACAACAGAGACUUAUUUUACUUAUGUUUUCCUCUUUUCUGUGUGUAUAAUGAGAGAAAUUAGGAUGCCAAAAAAAAAAGAAAAGAAAAGAAAAGAAAAACCAAGGCCUUCUAAGUCUAUAAAAAUUUUUUAAGUAAUUUUUUUUUUUUUUAAGAGACAGGGUCUUGCUCUGUAGCCCAGGCUGGGGUGCAGCAGUGCAAUCCCAGCUCACUGCAGCCUUGAGCUCCUGGGCUCAAAUGAUCCUCCCACGUUGGCCUCCCAAAGCAUAACACAUUUUAAAAUAAAAUUAUAGAUAAUAAGAAAGCAUUGUGUUAAAGUUUAAUUGGCAGCAUUUUAAAUUCUUUCUUACUGAGUUCCAGUUUUAAGCUCAGCUCUGCAGGUAAACAGCGGCACAAACCUGAUUGCAUUGCCUGGUCCCUCUGAGCCUCGGUUCCCUUAUCUGACAGCAGGGCUGUAUCUAUUCUAGCUCUCUGGGUUGCAGGUGAUGAGGAGAAGCAACCCUAAUCGGCUGAAGCCAAAGAAAGGACUUCAGAUCUCGUAACUGCAAAUCCUGGGGUCUAGCCUCAUAACUGCAAAUCCUGGGGUCUAGCCUCCCUCUCUGGUUCUUGUCACCUCCUCGUGGGCUUCAGUCCCAAGUUCCAGAUCGGGGCAAGACAUGGCCGAAGCCCAGGGCCCGCAUCCUCCCAGAUUCCAGCCACCUGGGAGUGUGUCUGUGGUCCCUGGUCUCUGACGAGGUCCUGUGCCCUGCCAUUGGUUCCAGGGGACUGCCGGAGCUGAUGGGUCAGGCCUGCACUGGAGCUGGGUGGAGUUGGCUCCAUCCUGAGGUUACCCCUAUGCCAGAGGGGCAUGGGUGGUUCCCAGGGUAGGGAAAGUGUGUGCUGGGUACCCAGACAUCGAAGCCUACUGUGCCUCCUUCUGUGACAAGGCAUGUGUCAUGUGUUGCUCCAGGAUGGGCAUGUACUCAUAGAUGGGGCUCAACAGGUUGAAUUCUCCUUUCCCUCCUUUCCUCUGGCUUAUGGUCAUCCACUCUUUGGAGCUAGCCAGGCCAAGUUGGAGGAUGCAAAGGUGAAUGGGGACACUGGCAUUCCAAAGGGGACCCGAUAUAGUUUGGCUGUGUCCCCACCCGAAUCUUACCUUGAAUUCCCAUGUGUUGUGGGAGGGACCUGGUGGGAGGUGAUUGAAUCAUGGGGGCAGGUCUUUCCCAUGCUGUUCUCAUGAUAGUGAAUAAGUCUCAUGAGAUCUGAUGGUUUUAUAAGGGGGAGUUUCCCCACAUAAGCUCUCUCUCUUUGCCUGCUGCCAUCCAUGUAAGAUGUGACUUGCUCCUCCUUGCCUUCCGCCAUGAUUGUGAGGCCUCCCCAGCCACGUGGAACUGUAAGUCCAUUCAAUCUCUUUCUUUAGUAAAUUGCCCAGUUUCGGGUAUGUCUUUAUCAGCAGUGUGAAAAUGGACUAAUACAGGGCCGCUUUGCAAAUAUGAUGGAGCCUCACAUCCCACAGAGCCAGGCUCGGGCAGAUCUCUGAGGCAGGCUUUCUUUGUGAAGAGCUGCCUUGUAAGGGAGCCACAGAAAACACCUGGAUAACGUAGAAGUCUUUGCCUGGGGGUGGGGAGUCAGCACGUAACCUUCUUAUUUUUGGAAUAAGCUCAUGUGUUUCUGCUCAUGGGGGACGAAAAACAACCUGCAGAGGCGCUUCGCUGUGUUCACGCAGUAGAGUUCCCAGGAAACCCUGGAGCUAAUUCCAGGUCAAAUUCUCAUCCAAAACACUGGCUGCAAACGGCCCUGAAUGCUGGAGUGAUGGCAGGUCGUGACCAGACAGAGAAGACCAAGAGCCCUCCCGGGUUAAUAGCGUAGGGGAUUUAUUUCCAGGAUCACCACCCCCGGACUUGCCAGGCAGAGGGCUGUUCCGAGCGGCGCUGGAGGACAGGGUGCCUGAGGGCAUCUCAUUCUCCCAGCAGGACACCCUGGUUGCUUCCUUCCCACCUCCAGACCUUUAUUGGCAAUUCACCCGCUACAAAGGGCUCGCCCUCCCCAGUGCUAUUUGUGGCUUUGCUGCUCAUGUGGGUCCCCUGCUUGGUUCAGAGGAAACCUUUGUGUGCCCGGAAGGCCACCAGUGGAGGCCAGCAAAUGCUGCCAUUUCACCCCAGCCCACAGUGCCAGCUGCUGUUGUGGGGACAGUCUUUUCCCUUUUCCAGAUAGGGGCUGAAAGUCAUCUGCGUCUGGAACCCUCCCUUUCUCAAGGACAGUGGCGGUGGAAGGGGAUGCUCUGCCCUGCUCCAGGAAACGAUUCUUCAUGAGUGGGCACACAGGCCGUCUCCUGAGACAUCCACAUUCUCUCUCUGGCCACUUUGCCUGGUGAUGAAGGCCCAGGUUGGCAAGGUGUCGGGGACAUCAGGGAGCCUAGGGUUAGUGAGCAUUGGCAACAGUGGCUACUCACAUCCCAGGGAUCAGGAGGCCUAUGGGGAAAGACCCAGUGCAAGCCCCCUCCCAUGCACGACAAGGGGCUGCCCCCAGUUCCAUGGAGUGAUAAAAAUGCCCAGUUGUCCAGUCCCUGAGGCACUUUAACCACGCAGGACCAGCUCCAUUUCCAGGACUUGCUCUAGGUAUCUUCUCCCAGCCUGCAGCCCUGGGCUGUCUUGGUCUCUGGGCCCCUCACCCUAUGAAUGCCAUGGGGCUGGGUGCACUCUGCAUAUCUACAUGUCAUGGCCACCCAUGCCCCCGUCCUCAGGUAUUCACUGGCUGGCACUUUCCCCUGCUCUGUUCUGCAGGUUUCAGGCUGACAAUGGGCACUGAAGUUCCAAGGG